rnacentral:rRNA from 1 species
UCCGUCGUGUGCGCGCGUUAAUCGGCAUUACUGGGCGUAAAGCGUGCGCAGGCGGCUUUGCAAGACAGAUGUGAAAUCCCCGGGCUCAACCUGGGAACUGCAUUUGUGACUGCAAGGCUAGAGUACGGCAGAGGGGGAUGGAAUUCCGCGUGUAGCAGUGAAAUGCGUAGAUAUGCGGAGGAACACCAAUGGCGAAGGCAAUCCCCUGGGCCUGUACUGACGCUCAUGCACGAAAGCGUGGGGAGCACACAGGAGGAGAUAACCCGGUAGUCC